AGUCAAACUACUAGCAGAACUUAAGACUUAGAAGUUUAAAUAUUUUUAACUCAUUAUAAAGCUAAUACAGCUCAAACAAAUCAUUUUUCCACCUCAGUACAGGAGAUAAAAAAGGUUUUACUAGCAACAGCAAGAGUACCGCAAGGGAAAGUUGAAAAAGAAGUGAAAUAAUUAAGCAACACACAGAAAAGCAGAGAUCAACACUCGU
rnacentral:rRNA from 1 species